CUGAAGGAGAAGAAGGUUCGGAGGGCGACCAGAGCGACAGAACCGGGGCUGAAACUCAGCUCGCUGGUCCGCCACCAGGCUUCUUUACCUUCAGCAAGUUUGCAGCCGUGAGUGAAAACCAGACUUCUCUACUUAAUUACUGAUUCCAAAGAUUAAAUUGUUAAAGGUAACAGCUUACCAUUACUUAUUUAUUUGCUUUUCUAGAAAAAUUAAGUAUAAUCUGAUAGUUUAAAGUUUGUUUUGUAUAGUAUAAGGAGACAAAGAUUCUCAUUUUAAUAAACACUUGCU
rnacentral:lncRNA from 1 species